rnacentral:rRNA from 1 species
UGAGCCUUGAUGUGUAGGAUAGGUGGGAGGCUUUGAAGUGUGGACGCCAGUCUGCAUGGAGCCGACCUUGAAAUACCACCCUUUAAUGUUUGAUGUUCUAACGUUGGCCCCUAAUCGGGGUUGCGGACAGUGUCUGGUGGGUAGUUUGACUGGGGCGGUCUCCUCCUAAAGAGUAACGGAGGAGCACGAAGGUUGGCUAAUCCUGGUCGGACAUCAGGAGGUUAGUGCAAUGGCAUAAGCCAGCUUGACUGCGAGCGUGACGGCGCGAGCAGGUGCGAAAGCAGGUCAUAGUGAUCCGGUGGUUCUGAAUGGAAGGGCCAUCGCUCAACGGAUAAAAGGUACUCCGGGGAUAACAGGCUGAUACCGCCCAAGAGUUCAUAUCGACGGCGGUGUUUGGCACCUCGAUGUCGGCUCAUCACAUCCUGGGGCUGAAGUAGGUCCCAAGGGUAUGGCUGUUCGCCAUUUAAAGUGGUACGCGAGCUGGGUUUAGAACGUCGUGAGACAGUUCGGUCCCUAUCUGCCGUGGGCGCUGGAGAACUGAGGGGGGCUGCUCCUAGUACGAGAGGACCGGAGUGGACGCAUCACUGGUGUUCGGGUUGUCAUGCCAAUGGCACUGCCCGGUAGCUAAAUGCGGAAGAGAUAAGUGCUGAAAGCAUCUAAGCACGAAACUUGCC